GACGAACGCUGGCGGCGUGCUUAACACAUGCAAGUCGAACGGAAAGGCCCUGCUUUUGUGGGGUGCUCGAGUGGCGAACGGGUGAGUAACACGUGAGUAACCUGCCCUUGACUUUGGGAUAACUUCAGGAAACUGGGGCUAAUACCGGAUAGGAGCUCCUGCUGCAUGGUGGGGGUUGGAAAGUUUCGGCGGUUGGGGAUGGACUCGCGGCUUAUCAGCUUGUUGGUGGGGUAGUGGCUUACCAAGGCUUUGACGGGUAGCCGGCCUGAGAGGGUGACCGGCCACAUUGGGACUGAGAUACGGCCCAGACUACUACGGGAGGCAGCAGUGGAGAAUAUUGCACAAUGGGCGGAAGACUGAUGCAGCAACGCCGCGUGCGGGAUGACGGCCUUCGGGUUGUAACCCGCUUUCGCCUGUGACGAAGCGUGAGUGACGGUAAUGGGUAAAGAAGCACCGGCUAACUACGUG
rnacentral:rRNA from 1 species